rnacentral:rRNA from 1 species
GACGUAGGGUGCGAGCGUUGUCCGGAUUUAUUGGGCGUAAAGAGCUCGUAGGCGGCUCGUCGCGUCGACCGUGAAAACCCGCGGCUUAACUGCGGGCUUGCGGUUGAUACGGGCGGGCUAGAGUUCGGUAGGGGAGACUGGAAUUCCUGGUGUAGCGGUGAAAUGCGCAGAUAUCAGGAGGAACACCGAUGGCGAAGGCAGCUCGCUGGGACGGUACUGACGCUGAGGCGCGAAAGCGUGGGGAGCGAACAGG